rnacentral:lncRNA from 1 species
UUUUAAUCAAAGAGAUGGACAUGAGGAGAUGCAAGAGGAAGAACAUGGAGAUUGGGAGGCGGUGGUCUUCCUCUCCACAAUCUUGCUAACUUGAAGUCAAAUAACGGUCACAAAAAUGCUUUCAUAAGAGACUCUUACUACAUAGUUGUUAGCUACUCUUUUCUGAUGCGAGGAUUGGGAGGAACCCUUGCUUUAAGAUGAUGAUAUGAUUGCUACAGUGUGUAUGUAGUAAUUUUUUAUGUAUCUAAUAUGUGUAUGUAGUAUGUAAGAUGAUUAGAAGAAAGUAGAGCAUAUCCUAAUUAGU